rfam:Picea glauca, whole genome shotgun sequence.
AUGUACAUUCCUACAACAUAGUGUUAAUGGACCGAAUCCCAUUAGAAAUCCGUAGUUAAGUGUGCUCAGGAUAGAUUAAUACUAGGAUGGGUGACCGCCUGGGAAGUCCUAGUGUGUUACAUG